AACAAUUUUACAGUCAGAGCAUACCUCCACAUAUCCAGAUGAUGGGCCAAAUAAGAUAAAGUGGCAAUGUUCUAACUCUUAAGAAAUAGCUUAGGAAUAUAAAGAGGUUUGCAAGUGUAGUUUGGUACCCAAAAUGCAUUUAAAAUAAUAACUUGCAAUUUUUCCCUUUCUUUUUCAGAUAUGAACUAGUUAAUGACCCAGAUGGUUGGCUGAGUGUGGAUGAGAGCUCAGUUAUUAUUACUGUGGCAAAAGAAUCAAGAAUCCCCCUUCUUGCACAACAACAUGUAUACCAUUAUUGUUCAUGCUACAAAUCAUGGGCAGUCAGUUGAACUUUUGAUGUUAAGAAGCCUCCCACAAGGCAGCUACUUGGUGCUCAUCAUUAUUCAGGACAGUCUUGUGAAAUAGCAGUGGUGUCACCUCAUCUCACCUCACAGACAAGGAAGACAAAAGCAUGAAGGAUUUUCAAGUAAUGGCAGAGAAGUUCCUGAACCCAUGGCUUGACAUAAACCUACCACAGGAGCUAGAGCUUCAUGAUUUCUAUCAAAAGUUAGCAUCCAGCUCUGAUAUGGGCAAAAGAUCCCUCUCCAUAGGUGGCCACCCACAGCUUGCCAUGGAUGGACCGGCAGAGCUGCUCACCCAUCCCUGCUCCAGCCUCCUCUGGGGCGCAGCUGCGCGGGGCGCUUUGAGCCCAGCCCUGAGCGCUCACCGACAGCUGCGGUACUGUACAAGGGUACGGCGUUGAGACAAGC
rnacentral:lncRNA from 1 species